rnacentral:rRNA from 1 species
AUUGAACGCUGGCGGCAUGCCUUACACAUGCAAGUCGAACGGUAACAGGUCUUCGGAUGCUGACGAGUGGCGAACGGGUGAGUAAUACAUCGGAACGUGCCUAGUAGUGGGGGAUAACUACUCGAAAGAGUGGCUAAUACCGCAUGAGAUCUACGGAUGAAAGCAGGGGAUCGCAAGACCUUGCGCUACUAGAGCGGCCGAUGGCAGAUUAGGUAGUUGGUGGGAUAAAAGCUUACCAAGCCGACGAUCUGUAGCUGGUCUGAGAGGACGAUCAGCCACACUGGGACUGAGACACGGCCCAGACUCCUACGGGAGGCAGCAGUGGGGAAUUUUGGACAAUGGGCGCAAGCCUGAUCCAGCAAUGCCGCGUGCAGGAUGAAGGCCUUCGGGUUGUAAACUGCUUUUGUACGGAACGAAAAGCCCUGGGUUAAUACCCUGGGGUCAUGACGGUACCGUAAGAAUAAGCACCGGCUAACUACAUGCCAGCCGCCGCCGUAAAAC